rnacentral:rRNA from 1 species
GACGAACGCUGGCGGCGUGCUUAACACAUGCAAGUCGAACGGUAAGGCUCCAGCUUGCUGGGGUACACGAGUGGCGAACGGGUGAGUAACACGUGGGUGACCUGCCCUGCACUUCGGGAUAAGCCUGGGAAACUGGGUCUAAUACCGGAUAGGACCGCACCGUGAGGGUGUGGUGGAAAGUUUUUUCGGUGUGGGAUGGGCCCGCGGCCUAUCAGCUUGUUGGUGGGGUAAUGGCCUACCAAGGCGGCGACGGGUAGCCGGCCUGAGAGGGUGGACGGCCACAUUGGGACUGAGACACGGCCCAGACUCCUACGGGAGGCAGCAGUGGGGAAUAUUGCACAAUGGGCGGAAGCCUGAUGCAGCGACGCCGCGUGGGGGAUGACGGCCUUCGGGUUGUAAACUCCUUUCACCAUCGACGAAGGGUUUCUGACGGUAGAUGGAGAAGAAGCACCGGCUAACUACGUGCCAGCAGCCGCGGUAAUACGUAGGGUGCGAGCGUUGUCCGGAAUUACUGGGCGUAAAGAGCUCGUAGGUGGUUUGUCGCGUCGUCUGUGAAAUUCCGGGGCUUAACUCCGGGCGUGCAGGCGAUACGGGCAUAACUUGAGUACUGUAGGGGAGACUGGAAUUCCUGGUGUAGCGGUGAAAUGCGCAGAUAUCAGGAGGAACACCGGUGGCGAAGGCGGGUCUCUGGGCAGUAACUGACGCUGAGGAGCGAGAGCAUGGGGAGCGAACAGGAUUAGAUACCCUGGUAGUCCAUGCCGUAAACGGUGGGCGCUAGGUGUGGGUUCCCUUCCACGGGAUCCGUGCCGUAGCUAACGCAUUAAGCGCCCCGCCUGGGGAGUACGGCCGCAAGGCUAAAACUCAAAGGAAUUGACGGGGGCCCGCACAAGCGGCGGAGCAUGUGGAUUAAUUCGAUGCAACGCGAAGAACCUUACCUGGGCUUGACAUAUACAGGAUCGCGCCAGAGAUGGUGUUUCCCUUGUGGCUUGUAUACAGGUGGUGCAUGGUUGUCGUCAGCUCGUGUCGUGAGAUGUUGGGUUAAGUCCCGCAACGAGCGCAACCCUUGUCUUAUGUUGCCAGCACGUUGUGGUGGGGACUCGUAAGAAACUGCCGGGGUUAACUCGGAGGAAGGUGGGGAUGACGUCAAAUCAUCAUGCCCCUUAUGUCCAGGGCUUCACACAUGCUACAAUGGUCGGUACAGUGGGUUGCCAGUCCGUGAGGGCGAGCUAAUCCCGCAAAGCCGGUCUCAGUUCGGAUCGGGGUCUGCAACUCGACCCCGUGAAGUCGGAGUCGCUAGUAAUCGCAGAUCAGCAACGCUGCGGUGAAUACGUUCCCGGGCCU